rnacentral:lncRNA from 1 species
AUCAAAUCACUAAUUAAACCUCUCAUAAAUACUGAGUCCAAAUCCAAUAGGCAAUCGGGCAUCAGAAUUCAUCGAUAUGUAACCCUGAUCGAAAAGUCCCAACCAGUGGGACUCUUGACCUCGGUACCCAAAAUGUGUGGAAUUUGUGAUCAGAGAAUCCUGAUUCUCGAUCACAGAAUCCCAGACACGUAGGACUCUUCACCAGCUAUCAGAUCAGAUAGGAACCUCUAAUGUGUGUGACCCCGAAGGUUCGAACCUAAGUCGGUAGCACAGGAACCAAUUCCUGUACUAAUCAAAGUGACCAUCUAGCAUUGGUACCCGAUGUCCGGAU